rnacentral:rRNA from 1 species
GAUGAACGCUGGCGGCGUGCCUAAUACAUGCAAGUCGAGCGAACAGAUAAGGAGCUUGCUCCUUUGACGUUAGCGGCGGACGGGUGAGUAACACGUGGGUAACCUACCUAUAAGACUGGGAUAACUUCGGGAAACCGGAGCUAAUACCGGAUAAUAUUUCGAACCGCAUGGUUCGAUAGUGAAAGAUGGUUUUGCUAUCACUUAUAGAUGGACCCGGGCCGUAUUAGCUAGUUGGUAAGGUAACGGCUUACCAAGGCGACGAUACGUAGCCGACCUGAGAGGGUGAUCGGCCACACUGGAACUGAGACACGGUCCAGACUCCUACGGGAGGCAGCAGUAGGGAAUCUUCCGCAAUGGGCGAAAGCCUGACGGAGCAACGCCGCGUGAGUGAUGAAGGUCUUCGGAUCGUAAAACUCUGUUAUUAGGGAAGAACAUACGUGUAAGUAACUGUGCACGUCUUGACGGUACCUAAUCAGAAAGCCACGGCUAACUACGUG